UGGAGAUGUAGCUCAGUGGUAGAGUGCUUACUUAAUAUGCACGGGUCCCUGGGUUCUGUCCCCAUCACUGCAA
rnacentral:tRNA from 1 species